GUCCAGCCUAAGGCAUGUACAUUUACUACAGCAAUUAAAAAGAAGACCACACGAGGUCACAUUUUCAAUGAAAUAAAGUUAGGCCUCUCCCUGCAUGUGCAUAUAACCACUCCUGGGGUCCUUCAUUUCAGGCUGGACCAGCACUGUUUUGCAUGGUGAUGUCCAAGGGACUUUUCAAAAACUCAGCCUGAGAUACAAAUAUCUUCCCAUCAGUCCAUCAGUGAACUCAGAGCUCUCUGCCUCCAGCUCUGCAAGGGUCACAAUGCUCUCCCACUCCUUGCUCCUCUGGCUUCUACUGCUCUGGCCUCAAGAAUCCCAGGCAGCUAUUAAGGUGACCCAGUCCCCAGCCUCCCUGUCUGUGGCUCCAGGAGACAGAGUCACCAUCAGCUGCAAGGCCAGUUCCAGCAUUAGCAACAACAUGGCCUGCUACCAGCAGAAACCAGGACAGUCUCCAAAGCUCCUGAUCUAUGCUGCUUCCACCCUGCAGGCUGGGAUCCCUGCCUGGUUUGGUGGCAGUGGCUCUGGGACUGAUUUCGCCUUCACCAUCAGUGCAAUGGAAGCUGAGGAUGUGGCAGAUUUUUACUGUUCCCAAUUUCAUACUAGUCCAUUCCCACAGUGCUUCAGCCCUGAACAAAAACCUCCCCAGGAUGCUCAGCCCUUCAGCAGAGGGCAGCAGCUGCUACCCCACAGUCACUGGCUUUAG